rnacentral:rRNA from 1 species
AGUGAACGCUGGCGGUAGGCCUAACACAUGCAAGUCGAACGGCAGCACAGUAAGAGCUUGCUCUUACGGGUGGCGAGUGGCGGACGGGUGAGGAAUACAUCGGAAUCUACUUUUUCGUGGGGGAUAACGUAGGGAAACUUACGCUAAUACCGCAUACGACCUACGGGUGAAAGCAGGGGAUCUUCGGACCUUGCGCGAUUGAAUGAGCCGAUGUCGGGUUAGCUAGUUGGCGGGGUAAAGGCCCACCAAGGCGACGAUCCGUAGCUGGUCUGAGAGGAUGAUCAGCCACACUGGAACUGGGACACGGUCCAGACUCCUACGGGAGGCAGCAGUGGGGAAUAUUGGACAAUGGGCGCAAGCCUGAUCCAGCCAUACCGCGUGGGUGAAGAAGGCCUUCGGGUUGUAAAGCCCUUUUGUUGGGAAAGAAAAGCAGCAGGUUAAUACCCCGCUGUUCUGACGGUACCCAAAGAAUAAGCACCGGCUAACUUCGUG